rnacentral:rRNA from 1 species
UACGGGGGGAGCAAGCGUUGUUCGGAUUUACUGGGCGUAAAGGGCGCGUAGGCGGUAGCACAAGUCAGUUGUGAAAUCUCCGGGCUUAACUCGGAAAGGUCAACUGAUACUGUGCGACUAGAGUGCAGAAGGGGAAACUGGAAUUCUCGGUGUAGCGGUGAAAUGCGUAGAUAUCGAGAGGAACACCUGCGGCGAAGGCGGGUUGCUGGGCUGACACUGACGCUGAGGCGCGAAAGCCAGGGGAGCGAACGGG